CGUUCAGGGGUAAACCUGCGAAACUCGAAUGAACGAACGGAGAGAUUCAUCGUCAUUCGGCGGCGUACGGGCGUGCGCCUCGAUGCGUGUCUAUCGUUUCGGCGAUGCGGCGCGCACGGGACUCGUCCGUCGACGUCCGCCGACGGCGUGCACUUCUCUCUUAGUAAUGCAUCGCGACCCGUUCGGGGUCGGCCUAAGCGCCUCUCGGGAGUCCGUCGGCUAGCGUCUCGGCGCUCGCCGGCGUACCGGGUCGGGUUGCCGGCCGGCCGUUGCGGACGGUAUGAAUGAUGGUUAAUAAUACGCUUCAAUGCGAACCGCGCACGCGUUUUAAGCGCGUCCGGCCCGACGCAAGCUAGCGUCCCGGCGGAUGUCCUGCCUCAGUGCGGACGUACGUCGGUCGUUGCUGUCUGUCGCCGCCGUGCAGUCUCGGACUGUGCGCGUCUCUGUCUGCGAUGAUUCUGUUUCGGGCACUCGCAGGACCCGUCUUGAAACACGGACCAAGGAGUCUAGCAUGUGUGCGAGUCAUUGGGUUCGACUCAAAAAGACAAAACUGAAAGGCGCAACGAAAGUGAAGGCGCGCGCUUGUCGCGCGCUCAGGGAGGAUGGAGCGUCGGUCUCGGUCGGCCUCUCGCACUCCCUAGGCGUCUCGUUUCCAAUCUGUGAAUGCGGGCGCGCUAUGAGCGCAGAUGCUGGGACCCGAAAGAUGGUGAACUAUGCCUGGUCAGGUCGAAGUCAGGGGAAACCCUGAUGGAGGACCGUAGCGAUUCUGACGUGCAAAUCGAUCGUCGGAACUGGGUAUAGGGGCGAAAGACUAAUCGAACCAUC
rnacentral:rRNA from 1 species